UACGUAGGUGGCAAGCGUUGUCCGGAUUUAUUGGGCUUAAAGGGUGCGUAGGUGGCUCUGUAAGUCAGUGGUGAAAUAUCUCAGCUUAACUGAGAGGGUGCCAUUGAUACUGCAGGGCUUGAGUACAGAUGAGGUAUGCGGAAUUGACGGUGUAGCGGUGAAAUGCAUAGAUAUCGUCAAGAACACCGAUAGCGAAGGCAGCUUACCAAGCUCUAACUGACACUGAGGCACGAAAGUGUGGGGAUCAAACAGG
rnacentral:rRNA from 1 species